rnacentral:misc_RNA from 1 species
AACGCACAUUGCGCCCUCUGGUAUUCCGGGGGGUAUGCCUGUUCGAGCGUCAUUAACAACCAAAACAAGCUCUGCUUGGUAUUGGGUAAUCGCCCCUAUGGGCGUACCUGAAAAAUAGUGACGGCCCUAUUCGGCUUCAAGCGCAGUGGUAAACAUUUUCGCUUUGGAAGUUUCCGGGUAGGUUGCCGGUCAUAUCUUAAAGAAAAAAUUCGUUAAGAUUUUUCUCUUAUUAUAACUAAAGGUUGACCUCGGAUCAGGUAGGAAUACCCGCUGAACUUAAGC